rfam:Dipodomys ordii contig_14872, whole genome shotgun sequence.
GGGAAGGUGGCUCAGUGGUAGAGCGCUUGCCUUGCAUGCAUGAGGCCCUGGGUUCAUUUCCUUAGCACCCCA